AGUCCCGCAACGAGCGCAACCCUUGUCCUUAGUUACCAGCGGGUUAAGCCGGGAACUCUAAGGAUACUGCCAGUGACAAACUGGAGGAAGGCGGGGACGACGUCAAGUCAUCAUGGCCCUUACGACCAGGGCUACACACGUGCUACAAUGGUAGGUACAGAGGGCAGCUACACAGCGAUGUGAUGCGAAUCUCAAAAAGCCUAUCGUAGUCCAGAUUGGAGUCUGCAACUCGACUCCAUGAAGUAGGAAUCGCUAGUAAUCGCGGAUCAGAAUGCCGCGGUGAAUACGUUCCCGGGCCUU
rnacentral:rRNA from 1 species